AGGUUCAUUGAAAUUGUGUCAAAAUGGCUUGGGUCAACACACACGACGCCUCUGUCUUUGUCCGUGGUUUGAAGACUUUUCUGGAAGAAAACCACAAGAGACACCUACUGGGGGACUCCGGCUAUCAACAAUAGGUACAACAAUGCCCAGUCAAGUGUACUGUGGUUGAUAGGGCUUUUGGACUGCCAAAGAGUAGAUUUAGGUGUCCGCAUAAAACUGGCGGUUGUUUAUUCAUGAGACUCGAUGAGUGCUGUCAAGCAGUGGCUGCAUGAAUGCGCCUGCAUGAAUGCGCCUGCACAACUUAUGCAUAGAUUAGCAGGUGCCACUGCCUGAACAACUUAAUUAGGCACAAGAAGUGGAUGGCGUUGUGCACAGUCCACAACAGGACCA